CGCAUCUGUGCAUGCAGCAUAUCAAUAAGCGGAGGAAAAGAAACUAACAAGGAUUCCCUUAGUAACGGCGAGCGAAGCGGGAAGAGCUCAAAUUUGAAAUCUUCAAGGUUUUACCUUGACGAAUUGUAGUUUAAAGAAGUGUUUUCUGCUGAAGUUUUGGUAAAAGUUCUUUGGAAUAGGACAUCAUAGAGGGUGAGAAUCCCGUAUUUGACCAUUAUUUUCAGCUUUGUGAUACACUUUCAGAGAGUCGGAUUGUUUGGGAAUGCAGUCCAAAAUGGGUGGUAAAUUUCAUCUAAAGCUAAAUAUUGGCGAGAGACCGAUAGCGAACAAGUACCGUGAGGGAAAGAUGAAAAGAACUUUGAAAAGAGAGUUAAACAGUACGUGAAAUUGUCAAAAGGGAAGCGUUUGACACCAGUGUUGUUUUCUCGAAAAUCAAUUAAAAAUGGCUCGAUUUUGUAUUGCUGAGACCUUAAAAGCUCACUGUACAUUUUUCGUGUCUUUUUUAAUGCACUUUUCGUUUAACAAGUCAAACAUCAAGUUUCUUUUGUUGUAAAAAAGCUUGAGGAAGGUGGCUUGAGAUUCGUCUUAAGUGUUUAUAGCCUCUUGCCUAUGCAGUCAGAGAGAUUGAGGUCUGCAGCGUAGAUCCUUCGGGGCUAAAUGCAUUUGUGCUAAGUUAUAGCAUUUUAUAGACAACUUGUUGACUAUGAUUUGCCUUGUAGCUUACUCGCUUAUGUUAUUUUACCUACGCUUAGGAUGUUGAUAGUCACAGCGUGUAC
rnacentral:rRNA from 1 species